rnacentral:rRNA from 1 species
CCUACGGGUGGCUGCAGUGAGGAAUAUUGGUCAAUGGGCGGAAGCCUGAACCAGCCAAGUAGCGUGCAGGAUGACGGCCCUCCGGGUUGUAAACUGCUUUUAUACGGGAAUAACGCGCCUUACGUGUAGGGCUUUGCAUGUACCGUAUGUAUAAGGACCGGAUAAUUCCGCGCCAGCAGCGGAGGUAAUACGGUAGGUCCGGGCGUUAUCCGGAUUUAUUGGGUUUAAGGGGCGCGUAGGCGGCAUGUCAAGCGUGCUGUGAAAUGUCCGGGCUCAACCCGGGCCUUGCAGCGCGAACUGGCGUGCUGGAGUCCGCGGAAGGCAGGCGGAAGUCGUCGUGUAGCGGUGAAAUGCUUAGAUAUGACGAAGAACCCCAGUUGCGAAGGCAACUUGCUGGAGCGGAACUGACGCUGAUGCGCGAAAGCGCGGGUAUCGAACAGGAUUAGAUACCCGUGUAGUC